rnacentral:misc_RNA from 1 species
GAUGAAGAACGCAGCGAAAUGCGAUAAGUAAUGUGAAUUGCAGAAUUCAGUGAAUCAUCGAAUCUUUGAACGCACAUUGCGCCCGCCAGUAUUCUGGCGGGCAUGCCUGUUCGAGCGUCAUUUCAACCAUCAAGCUCUGCUUGGUAUUGGGCACCGUCCUUUGCGGGCGCGCCUCAAAGACCUCGGCGGUGGCGUCUUGCCUCAAGCGUAGUAGAAUACACCUCGCUUCGGAGCGUAAGGCGUCGCCCGCCGGACGAACCUUCUGAACUUUUCUCAAGGUUGACCUCGGAUCAGGUAGGGAUACCCGCUGAACUUAAGCAUAUCAAUAAGCGGAGGA